UGUGUGUAUUCUUAAUGUUGUAACUGAGCAAGUUAGAAGGAAUGUGCCAUGCUCUGAGUUCCAAAUUAAGAGUCCUUUAUUGAUUUGCUGGCGACUGAGAGACGGCUAAUGCUCAAAAUUCU